rnacentral:rRNA from 1 species
UACAGAGGUCUCGAGCGUUGUUCGGAUUCAUUGGGCGUAAAGGGUGCGUAGGUGGCGCUGUAAGUCAGGUGUGAAAUUUCGGAGCUUAACUCCGAAACUGCAUUCGAUACUGCGGUGCUUGAGGACUGGAGAGGAGACUGGAAUUCAUGGUGUAGCAGUGAAAUGCGUAGAGAUCAUGAGGAAGACCAGUGGCGAAGGCGGGUCUCUGGACAGUUCCUGACACUGAGGCACGAAGGCCAGGGGAGCAAACGGG